UACGAAGGGGGCUAGCGUUGUUCGGAAUUACUGGGCGUAAAGCGCGUGGUAGGCGGGUCUUUAAGGUCAGGGUGAAAUGCCAGGCUCAACCUUGGAACUGCCUUUGAUACUGGAGACCUUGAGUCCGGGAGAGGUGAGUGGAAUUGCGAGUGUAGAGGUGAAAUUCGUAGAUAUUCGCAAGAACACCAGUGGCGAAGGCGGCUCACUGGCCCGGAACUGACGCUGAGACGCGAAAGCGUGGGGAGCAAACAGG
rnacentral:rRNA from 1 species